rnacentral:rRNA from 1 species
UACAGAGGGUGCAAGCGUUGUUCGGAAUUAUUGGGCGUAAAGCGCGUGUAGGCGGCUUUGCAAGUCGGGUGUGAAAGCCCUCAGCUCAACUAAGGAAGUGCGCCCGAAACUGCAGAGCUUGAGUGCCGGAGAGGGUGGCGGAAUUCCCCAAGUAGAGGUGAAAUUCGUAGAUAUGGGGAGGAACACCGGUGGCGAAGGCGGCCACCUGGACGGUAACUGACGCUGAGACGCGAAAGCGUGGGGAGCAAACAGG